rnacentral:lncRNA from 7 species
AUGAGAGACCGGCGGAAGUUGCGGGUGGCACUCUUCAAUUCAGCAAAGGAGAACACCCUCAGGUUAGACGGGCGGUCAAUGAAGCUGGGGUACUGUGUCCUCCUUAUCGACUCGGCGCUCAUGUCGGAAACAUUCAAGGAGGUGAAGUCUGAACCGGAGCGGACAUCACGCUCCGUUGAUAUGCAGAAAGUGGAGAUAAAUUGGCGUGACUAUCAAUACUUCACAUUUGAACGAGAGCUCAAGUGAGAACCUAAUUGGCUCUGUA